GCAGUAGGGAGAGUCAGGAACGGGCCAGACGAACAAGCAGGCGCCAGUCUACCGUGGGCGCACGUCGUGGCACCACGUGUGUUCCGAUUCAAUGUUUUCAUACGGUAUAAUCACGUUCAAGCUUUUUUUACUCUGAUUAUACGCAGUCUCAGCGAUACGCGAUGAUCAUUUCAGUGAUUAUUUACCAUAUGUGAUCGGACCGAAAGCGCGAGAGAAGUGGUGACGGACGUUUACUCUGAGUCAGUAGUAGUGUGUGUGAUACAGUGCGUCGAGCAACACGGAGGGAUCUAUCGAUGAUCUAUGAUUGCAUAAGCAUGAGAAUUCUUGCAUGGCAAAAUGAGGCUACAUGAGUAUCCUGCGUAACGCACGCCGGCAACUUUCGAUGUAAGGGCGCGCAAAACGAGUGUACCCGCGGCGGUGAAAUCCGUGAGUGUCGGUGCGAGAAACGAUGAACGAAUCGGGACGAGCCGGGAACGAAGCGGCGCGAUAAUAAUAAUAUGUGGACGACGCGGCCGCGGACCAAACGAAAGUGGCGACAAACGUCGACCCCGUCGUGCAGAGAACGUGACAAUCGGCGGAAUCGCCGUCGGGACAGUUUCCGCAUCAUCUACUCGGUGAUAUUGGCGGCCUGUAUGGCGGCGCAGGAAGCGAGGGGCGCCAAGUGUCCGCCACCGGACACAAUACCAGGCUGUCCGUGUUACAACUUCGAGAACGGCGGUCUGUUCCUGGAAUGCGCAGGUGCUACCGAGGAGUCCCUCAGGAACGCUUUGUCCGGCGUGAUACAUGCCGCCGGCGAGGAAGGUAACCGUCCACUAUACAACGCGCAAAAAGCGGGGAUCACCGGAGAAUAUGUAUUCCCCUUCCGCAUAUAUAAGUAGAAAUAGCUACUGUCCGUAUAGAUUGGAAUAACGGGGUGUACUAGCAGAAAACAGCUGUGGUUCUCAAAAUAAAAAGGACAAGAC